rnacentral:rRNA from 1 species
AGAAUUUGAUCUUGGUUCAGGACGAACGCUGGCGGCAUGCCUAACACAUGCAAGUCGAACGGAAUAAGAGUGGUUGUAGCGAUACUUUCGUUCUUAUUUAGUGGCGAACGGGUGAGUAACAUGUGAGCAACCUGCCUUCUACACAGGGAUAACAGCCGGAAACGGCUGCUAAUACCGGAUAAGACCACACUGAGGCAUCUCAGAGGGGUCAAAGCGAUUUAGCGGUAGAAGAUGGGCUCGCGUCCCAUUAGCUAGUUGGUGAGAUAACAGCCCACCAAGGCGACGAUGGGUAGCCGACUUGAGAGAGUGAUCGGCCACAUUGGAACUGAGACACGGUCCAGACUCCUUCGGGAGGCAGCAGUGGGGAAUAUUGGGCAAUGGAGGAAACUCUUACCCAAGCAAUGCCGCGUGAAUGAAGAAGGCCUUCGGGUUGUAAAGUUCUUUUAUUGAUGAUAAAGAAAGUGAUAUUAGUCAAUGAAUAAGCCCCGGCUAACUACGUGCCAGCCGCCGC